AGCGAACGCUGGCGGCAGGCUUAACACAUGCAAGUCGAACGCUCACCUUCGGGUGGGAGUGGCAGACGGGUGAGUAACACGUGGGAACGUACCCUUCGGUUCGGAACAACUCAGGGAAACUUGAGCUAAUACCGGAUACGCCCUUCGGGGGAAAGAUUUAUCGCUGAAGGAUCGGCCCGCGUCUGAUUAGCUAGUUGGUGAGGUAAUGGCUCACCAAGGCGACGAUCAGUAGCUGGUCUGAGAGGAUGAUCAGCCACACUGGGACUGAGACACGGCCCAGACUCCUACGGGUGGCUG
rnacentral:rRNA from 1 species